CCCAGCCCGCGAGCGCCAUUUGCUCUUUUCUAUUUUCAAGCAGCACAUCUCAGCCCUCAAGAGCUUCUCCCAUUUUCAAGCAGCGGCAUCCCAUCGCCAUCGAGCAGCGGCAUCUUCCAUCGCCAUCAAGCAGCGUCUUCAAAUAGGAUGUGGGCUGUGCAUCAUAUCAUUCCUCUGUUUAUUUUGCCAAGGUUGGUGGAUACAUAGUGGAGUAAAAGGGAGAAAACACUAGUGCAGUGAGAGGAGCAGGUCAUGAUUUCUUUCUCAAUCUUUUUUUUUUUUUUGCUUUUUAGUAGAAAAUCAGUAGUAGUUUGUUGAUGAUAACAUUUAUAGGAUAAUGAGAAAGUGGAUAUGCGAAGGCUUGUUGAUUGGAACCAAUCAAUGGAAGUCUUGAAGCUAAUUGCAAUACCUGCUUAAAGCUUCAAAAAAUGGGUUCAAUUCCUUGCCCAAAAACAUAUCAGUUGUGGCUAUCAAAUAUAUAAUAUCACCUCCUUAUAGGGAAACAUUUAAUGAUGUGUAUAGGUAAAUUCAUUUUUUCUUAUUCCUUAUAUUGUUUUCCAGUUAUAUUUGUGUUGGUUUUAGAGUACAGGUAGCGAUAGAAAUUGUUGGUCGAUUGUGGCUUGUAGACAAAGGGAUAAGUAACCAACAAUACAAAUAUGGGAGGCCUUCCCUAGGAUGAUGGAAUAUACGAAGCUGUUGAAAUUUCAGGGUGAAGUCGAGCACAUUUCUCUAAUGAAGCCAAAGAUUUGUAUUUUCAGCA